GAUGAACGCUGGCGGCGUGCCUAAUACAUGCAAGUCGAGCGAACGGACGAGAAGCUUGCUUCUCUGAUGUUAGCGGCGGACGGGGGAGUAACACGUGGAUAACCUACCUAUAAGACUGGGAUAACUUCGGGAAACCGGAGCUAAUACCGGAUGAUAUUUUGAACCGCAUGGUUCAAAAGUGAAAGACGGUCUUGCUUUCACUUAUAGAUGGAUCCGCGCUGCAUUAUCUAGUUGUUAAGGUAACGGCUUACCAAGGCAACGAGGCAUAGCCGACCUGAGAGGGUGAUCGGCCACAGUGGAACUGAGACACGGUCCAGACUCCUACGGGAGGCAGCAGUAGGGAAUCUUCCGCAAUGGGCGAAAGCCUGACGGAGCAACGCCGCGUGAGUGAUGAAGGUCUUCGGAUCGUAAAACUCUGUUAUUAGGGAAGAACAUAUGUGUAAGUAACUGUGCACAUCUUGACGGUACCUAAUCAGAAAGCCACGGCUAACUACGUG
rnacentral:rRNA from 1 species